AUGCUACGUCAUUUCACUGACAUCUCUUUUCAACUUGCAUUUAAUCAUAUACGAGUCUUUGAUGUAUCAAGCUGUAUUUCCCAUUGUUUACAGUUGAAAAUGGAGCCUCUGGAUCCUGCCAAGAAUGAGGAAGAACGUAGAUUCUCCAGGCGGCGCAUUUCUUCGAUUUUAAAAGCGCCACGAAGAUCAGUGAGAUUUCCUGAACCGCCAGAACAGGAAUAUGUGGUGGAGUGUGCCAACCCAGUGGAGAAGAGGAACUCAAGAAGAGUCAGUUUUGCCCCCGCAAACGAUGUUCUUUUGUUCUCAAAGGAUGUGAAAAAUGGCUCUCCUGUCCGAAGUCCUUUACAAGACUUAAUGACUUCAACAUCAGCAGCAACUCAAAAUAGGCUCCAGGUGGAAGUCACUGAAGAUGGGAUUCAACCAAUUAUAGGAAUGGAGACUCUGCUGAACGCUCCUCUACAUGCCUCUCAGCAAAGUGAAACGGCCGUCUUUGACACCGGUUAUGGCUUGGGGGAGAAAACGGUGGUGUUUUCUACGGAUGACGCAUUUUUGGACAUGACCCAAAGUCACACUAUAAACAUUGACGCAGGAUUAGACAUUUCCUUCCAAAACUACGACUCUUUACCCGCCAGAGGACAGAAGAGGGUGAUGCUCACUGCCGGUGAUGGUGCCAUGGCUUUGACCCCGGCGCACAAUGUGAACGUUAGGUCUGUAUCUGUACUCACAAGCAGAAAUUUGGAUGCAGGAGCUGAGAACAUCUCAUCAGCACCUAUUCUAGACGCUGGAUUUGAAAACUUUCUCGCAAGUUUCUCCAAACCAAGUGAGCCCAGCGCGAAUCCUGCGAUCACCCCGAUGACGCCGGCUGCGUCGUCUGACCGUGCGAACCGCUCCGUGGCCCAGGUGACAACACAAAAGGCCGGCCUGGACAAAGAAAAUCAGGCUCCAACUUCUGUGUCGUUUGUGAUGGAGAAGUCCCAAAGUACAUCCAGGAAGAGCGGUGGGUCAUGUCAUGGAAGGGCACUCUGUCCUGAAGAUGAUGUAAGCACAGAUAUGAAUGAGACUCCGGCUGGCGGCAUUGUGGGAUUCACUGAAGAAGAUGACGUCUUUCAGUGUCUGUUCCCCACACAAGAAAUGUACUCUCAACUCGACAACAGAGUGUCACAGGCAGAAGAGGAGACCCAGCAGCAGCAGAUCAAUAAACCACAGGCCCCAUACAACCCUAAAGAUAUGACAUCGUUGAGGAAUCCAUCUCUACAUGAUUUGAGUCAAAGACACACGCAGGCCGAGACACGCGUUCUGCCUCGAAACAGUUCAGCACACAGCCGUCGCGCCGUCACAAGAACGACACCUACAGCUGCAGAACCUCCUCCCACCGGUGACUCAGUGAACGGGGGAACGAUCUGCGCAGAAGAGGAUGUGUUCAUCAACAUGGCUGAAGCUCAAACAGGCCGGAAACUAAGAGGCACAUUUACAGAUGAUUCUGUUCCCUUUCACGUGUGGGGAACAGGGGACACGUGCAGCCCAAGUGGUAGUUUGAAGAAAGCAGGGCUGAGUUCACGGCAGGAAUCAUCUAACCGCGAAGGUAUGGAUAACUUGCCAUGGUCUCCUUUGCAGGCGAAGGCGCAACAUCAGAUUACAUUUGAUGCUGAAGACGAGACCAGAAUUCCUGCUGACGUUGCAACUGA
ensembl:lncRNA